ACUCCUACGGGAGGCAGCAGUGGGGGAAUAUUGCACAAUGGGGGAAACCCUGAUGCAGCCAUGCCGCGUGUGUGAAGAAGGCCUUCGGUUGUAAAGCACUUUCAGUAGGGAGGAAGGUGGGUGUGUUAAUAGCGCAUUCGUUUGACGUUAGCUGCAGAAGAAGCACCGGCUAACUCCGUGCCAGCAGCCGCGGUAAUACGGAGGGUGCGAGCGUUAAUCGGAAUUACUGGGCGUAAAGCGCAUGCAGGUGGUUUGUUAAGUCAGAUGUGAAAGCCCGGGGCUCAACCUCGGAAUUGCAUUUGAAACUUGGCAGACUAAGAGUACUGUAGAGGGGGGUAGAAUUUCAGGUGUAGCGGUGAAAUAGCGUAGAGAUCUGAAGGAAUACCGGUGGCGAAGGCGGCCCCCUGGACAGAUACUGACACUCAGAUGCGAAAGCGUGGGGAGCAAAACAGGAUUAGAUACCCUGGUAGCGCUAC
rnacentral:rRNA from 1 species